AGUGGGGAAUAUUGCACAAUGGAGGAAACUCUGAUGCAGCAACGCCGCGUGGAGGAUGACACAUUUCGGUGCGUAAACUCCUUUUAUAUGAGAAGAUAAUGACGGUAUCAUAUGAAUAAGCACCGGCUAACUUCGUGCCAGCAGCCGCGGUAAUACGAGGGGUGCAAGCGUUACUCGGAAUCACUGGGCGUAAAGAGAAUGUAGGCGGUUAAUUAAGUUAGAAGUGAAAUCCUAUGGCUCAACCAUAGAACUGCUUCUAAAACUGAUUAACUAGAGUAUGGGAGAGGUAGAUGGAAUUUCUGGUGUAGGGGUAAAAUCCGUAGAGAUCAGAAGGAAUACCGAUUGCGAAGGCGAUCUACUGGAACAUUACUGACGCUCAGAUUCGAAAGCGUGGGGAGCAAACAGGAUUAGAUACCCUGGUAGUCCACGCCCUAAACGAUGUACACUAGUUGUUGCUAUACUAGAUAUAGCAGUAAUGCACCUAACGGAUUAAGUGUACCGCCUGGGGAGUACGGUCGCAAGAUUAAAACUCAAAGGAAUAGACGGGGACCCGCACAAGCGGUGGAGCAUGUGGUUUAAUUCGACGAUACGCGAAGAACCUUACCUGGCCUUGACAUAGAUAGAAUAUAGCAGAGAUGUAAUAGUGCUGGUUUACCAGAGCUAUCAUACAGGUGCUGCACGGCUGUCGUCAGCUCGUGUCGUGAGAUGUUGGGUUAAGUCCCGCAACGAGCGCAACCCACGUGAUUAGUUGCUAACAGUUCGGCUGAGAACUCUAAUCAGACUGCCUGGGUAACCAGGAGGAAGGUGUGGACGACGUCAAGUCAUCAUGGCCCUUACGGCCAGGGCUACACACGUGCUACAAUGGGGUAUACAGAGAGCCGCAAUACCGUGAGGUGGAGCAAAUCUUCAAAAUAUCUCCCAGUUCGGAUAGCAGUCUGCAACUCGACUGCUUGAAGUUGGAAUCGCUAGUAAUCGUGGAUCAGCAAUGCCACGGUGAAUACGU
rnacentral:rRNA from 1 species